UGAGGUAGGUGUGAGAAAUGA
rnacentral:miRNA from 1 species